rnacentral:rRNA from 1 species
GACUACGGCCGUAUGGCGUGUUGGAUACACCCGGUCCAUUGAUCUCGGAAGUUAAGCAACGCGACGGUCAGGACAGUUCUUUGAUGGGCGACCAGCCAAGGACGACCGCAUUGGUGUAGACG